UACAGAGGUCCCGAGCGUUGUUCGGAUUCACUGGGCGUAAAGGGUGCGUAGGUGGCAUGUUAAGUUUGAUGUGAAAGCUCAGGGCUCAACCCUGAAAUGGCAUUGAAUACUACUGUGCUGGAGGUUUGGAGGGGGGACUGGAAUUCUUGGUGUAGCAGUGAAAUGCGUAGAUAUCAAGAGGAACACCAGUGGCGAAGGCGAGUCCCUGGACAACACCUGACACUGAGGCACGAAAGCUAGGGGAGCAAACAGG
rnacentral:rRNA from 1 species